AUUGAACGCUGGCGGAAUGCUUUACACAUGCAAGUCGAACGGCAGCACGGGGGCAACCCUGGUGGCGAGUGGCGAACGGGUGAGUAAUACAUCGGAACGUGCCCAGUCGUGGGGGAUAACGUAGCGAAAGUUACGCUAAUACCGCAUACGAUCUACGGAUGAAAGCGGGGGACCGUAAGGCCUCGCGCGAUUGGAGCGGCCGAUGUCAGAUUAGGUAGUUGGUGAGGUAAAGGCUCACCAAGCCGACGAUCUGUAGCGGGGCUGAGAGGACGAGCAGGAACACUGGGACCGAGACACGGCCCAGCAUCCUACGGGAGGCAGCAGUGGGGAAUUUUGUACAAUGGGCGCAAGCCUGAUCCAGCCAUUCCGCGUGCAGGACGAAGGCCUUCGGGUUGUAAACUGCUUUUGUACGGAACGAAAAGGCUCUGGUUAAUACCUGGGGCUCAUGACGGUACCGUAAGAAUAAGCACCGGCUAACUACGUGCCAGCCGCCGCGGUAA
rnacentral:rRNA from 1 species